rnacentral:rRNA from 1 species
UACGUAGGGGGCAAGCGUUGUCCGGAUUUAUUGGGCGUAAAGCGUCCGCAGGUGGCAGUUCAAGUCUGCUGUCAAAGACCGGGGCUUAACUUCGGAAAGGCAGUGGAAACUGAACAGCUAGAGUAUGGUAGGGGCAGAGGGAAUUCCUGGUGUAGCGGUGAAAUGCGUAGAGAUCAGGAAGAACAUCGGUGGCGAAGGCGCUCUGCUGGACCAUAACUGACACUCAGGGACGAAAGCUAGGGGAGCGAAUGGG